GGAGGCGUCGCAUAGCGGUUUAUUGCACCGGUCUUGAAAACCGGAGUACCGCAAGGUACCGAAGGUUCGAAUCCUUCCGCCUCCG
rnacentral:tRNA from 1 species